UACCAUACUGCAUUUAGACUGUAAAAUAAAUCAAACAGGAACUAACAGAGAAAGAUGUCCGGUUCGAGCUCCAUUAGCAAUCGUAAUAAAUUAUGCAUAUCUAUUUAAUUUAUACAAAUACAGUUUUAUCAUUUAUUAAACUUUAAUCCCGUGAUAGGAAAUAGGGUGAGGGGUCCUUACUUAAUUCGACGUCGAAAAUCAGAUUUUCACUGCGCCUACAAGCAGUCCCUAGAUUCCCUGAAUUUUUUUUUUGGGAACUGAAAUGCGCUUACAGUACCUACACAGUCCCAAAUAACUCAAAAAUCCGACCCAAGGCCUAUUCGGCCAAUUUCAGAAU
rnacentral:lncRNA from 1 species